UGGGGAAUUUGGACAAUGGGCGAAAGCCUGAUCCAGCCAUGCCGCGUGUCUGAAGAAGGCCUUCGGGUUGUAAAGGACUUUUGUCGGGGAGGAAAUCCCCAGCGCUAAUACCGCUGGGGGAUGACAGUACCUGAAGAAUAAGCACCGGCUAACUACGUGCCAGCAGCCGCGGUAAUACGUAGGGUGCAAGCGUUAAUCGGAAUUACUGGGCGUAAAGCGUGCGCAGGCGGUUUGAUAAGCCAGAUGUGAAAUCCCCGAGCUCAACUUGGGAACUGCGUUUGGAACUGUCAGACUAGAGUGCGUCAGAGGGGGGUGGAAUUCCGCGUGUAGCAGUGAAAUGCGUAGAGAUGCGGAGGAACACCGAUGGCGAAGGCAGCCCCCUGGGAUGACACUGACGCUCAUGCACGAAAGCGUGGGGAGCAAACAGGAUUAGAUACCCUGGUAGUCCACGCCCUAAACGAUGUCAAUUAGCUGUUGGGGGUUAGAAUCCCUGGUAGCGUAGCUAACGCGUGAAAUUGACCGCCUGGGGAGUACGGCCGCAAGGUUA
rnacentral:rRNA from 1 species